rnacentral:rRNA from 1 species
UACAGAGGUCUCGAGCGUUAGGCGGAAUCACUGGGCUUAAAGCGUGUGUAGGCGGACUGGUAAGUACCUUGUGAAAUCCCACGGCUCAACCGUGGAACUGCUGGGUAUACUGCUUGUCUUGUGCAACCUAGGGGCGAGCGGAACAGAUGGUGGAGCGGUGAAAUGCGUAGAUAUUGGGAGGAACACCAGUGGCGAAGGCGGCUCGCUGGACCGGAACUGACGCUGAGGCGCGAAAGCGUGGGGAGCAAACAGG